rnacentral:tRNA from 1 species
ACGGAAAGAGAGGGAUUCGAACCCUCGGUACGAAAAACUCGUACAACGGAUUAGCAAUUUCUAAUCGUCACUAAAUCUUCCAUUUCUUUCUUUACA